UGCUCCCGAAGGAACCCUGCUUUGCUUGGAGGGGAGGAAAUGAACUGACGGGCGCUGGCUGCUGGCGUUCGAGCACCGGCUGUGGCUCAGUCGAAAAGGGCACGGUUCUUGCCAGUUCACCUCCUCCAAAGCAGGUGACAAAAAAACAAAAAUCAACCAGCUGAUGGAGGGACACUGAUACCUACACAACAACCAUGAACAAUACUAGACAGACACACACUACCAUGUUGACACCACUUAGCAUUCAGCUGGUGUCAGGACGCACCCUCCCCACCAUGGUGCCCUCUUGCGUCAUAAUCUAUGAGGACACCCCAAAUACACCUGUUUGUCCUGGACCGGAAUAUGGGUCAUCGAGUCUUCCUCGGAUCUGGCCUAUGGAUGGCUAUUAAUGUUGAAGCUGGUUUCGUCUAGCUUCGGUGCUUGCCUUGGAGCGUCGUCAACCCUGCUUGCCGUUUACCCUAUUUCCUGUCCGUCCGUCUGAUAAUGGAUUUACUGGGGUCGUGCCUCUACAGAGCGGACAUCAAUGUGGGAGCAAUGGCUCAGUAUGUGGUCCAGUACCUGUCUGUCCGUCCGUGCACGUCAAUCGUAUUGUCUUGUUUCAAGUAUGGAAAUGGGAUUCGAAAGUGGGUACCUUGGGCGUUGUCGGCUGACCAACGCCGUGUUGCUAUCGCCUGACUGGCUGAUAUUCCAACGUUGGGACAGUGGAGGUGGAGUUUAUGUCUGGGUUAAUCUUUCCCCCCUUUUUAUUUUCAGGGAUUACUUUCUUUUCAGGUUUUCAACGUUUCUUUGCAGGUUUUCUUUUGCAGUUUAAAACAAUUUUUAAUAAUUUUUAGUUAUUUCAUUUUUCUCACGAAUUUCAGAGUUUUUCAAUACUUUUUCUCAAUAUUUCCUUUUCAGAUUUUUAAAUCUUUUUGUUUCAGGUUUUAAAUGUCUUCUUUUUCUUCUCUUAAUGUUCGUUCAAUUUGCCUUUAGAUUUACAAAAUUUUUUUAAUUAUUAGAUUUCUUUCAUUUCAGUUUCUUUUAUUUCAAAUUCACAAUCAUUUAACAAUUUCCUUGUAGAUUUAGCUGUCUUUGUUUGUAGAUUAUUGCCAUUCUAUUUAGCUUUAAGUUCAUUACAUUUUACUUUGCUUGUUUGGUAGCCCAGGCAAGAUUAUUAAAUAAAAAAAACACUAUUUCACCGCGG